rnacentral:rRNA from 1 species
GAUCCUGGCUCAGGAUGAACGCUAGCUACAGGCUUAACACAUGCAAGUCGAGGGGCAUCAGUUUGGUUUGCUUGCAAACCAAAGCUGGCGACCGGCGCACGGGUGAGUAACACGUAUCCAACCUGCCUCAUACUCGGGGAUAGCCUUUCGAAAGAAAGAUUAAUAUCCGAUAGCAUAUAUUUCCCGCAUGGGUUUUAUAUUAAAGAAUUCGGUAUGAGAUGGGGAUGCGUUCCAUUAGUUUGGUU